UACAGAGGUGGCAAGCGUUGUUCGGAAUUACUGGGCGUAAAGGGCGCGUAGGCGGUUCGAUAAGUCCCGUGUGAAAUCCCUCGGCUCAACUGAGGAAUGGCACGGGAAACUGCCGGGCUUGAGUUCGGGAGAGGGAAGCGGAAUUCCGGGUGUAGCGGUGAAAUGCGUAGAUAUCCGGAGGAACACCGGUGGCGAAGGCGGCUCACUGGACCGGUAUUGACGCUGAGGUGCGAAAGCGUGGGGAGCAAACAGG
rnacentral:rRNA from 1 species